GCGGGAGUGGCGAAAUUGGUAGACGCACCAGAUUUAGGUUCUGGCGCCGCGAGGUGUGCGAGUUCAAGUCUCGCCUCCCGCACCA
rnacentral:tRNA from 6 species